GUGCUCGCUUUGGCAGCACAUACACUGAAACCAGAAUGGUGCAGAGAAGAUUAGCAUGGCCCCUGUGCAAGGAUGACAUGCAGAUCUGUGAAGCAUUCAUAUUUUAA